GAUGAACGCUGGCGGCGUGCCUAAUACAUGCAAGUCGAGCGAACAGACGAGGAGCUUGCUCCUCUGACGUUAGCGGCGGACGGGUGAGUAACACGUGGAUAACCGACCUAUAAGACUGGGAUAACUUCGGGAAACCGGAGCUAAUACCGGAUAAUAUAUUGAACCGCAUGGUUCAAUAGUGAAAGACGGUUUUGCUGUCACUUAUAGAUGGAUCCGCGCCGCAUUAGCUAGUUGGUAAGGUAACGGCUUACCAAGGCAACGAUGCGUAGCCGACCUGAGAGGGUGAUCGGCCACACUGGAACUGAGACACGGUCCAGACUCCUACGGGAGGCAGCAGUAGGGAAUCUUCCGCAAUGGGCGAAAGCCUGACGGAGCAACGCCGCGUGAGUGAUGAAGGUCUUCGGAUCGUAAAACUCUGUUAUUAGGGAAGAACAAAUGUGUAAGUAACUAUGCACGUCUUGACGGUACCUAAUCAGAAAGCCACGGCUAACUACGUG
rnacentral:rRNA from 1 species